UGGGAAAUCAUUUACAAUCAAUUCAUGUCAUUGCCUGAGAAGCAGAAGAAAACAACUGGGGACAGGGGAUGGUGAGCAUUGCAUAGGAAGCCAAGAGAACCGUAUUGAUUGUGUAUCUUUAGUGAGCCAGAUAAUGGGUUGGCGUCUACCUACAUUAGCUCAAUAAUCCUUACAUCACCUAUACUUAGUUUUAUGCAUUGUUCCCCCAAAUUCAUGAAAUACCUAAAAGAUAUUAGUGAAACAACAGGACAACUAACUAACAAAUGGAAAAAAAAUCAAGGUAAAGGGGAAAUAACAAGGACAGUCAUAUUUAAAAAGUCAGACAUAAGGCAUAAUGUUUUGUGUGGCUGAGAGCUUGAGCUCUGAAGCCAUCAGACCCGAAUCUAAGUGCAGGCUAGCAGCUUUUAAUUCCUAUUCCUUAAUAAUCCUGGAACCUUGAGUUAAUGAGGGAAACACUGGAAGCCUCAGUUUGCUUAUGUGCAAAGUGCAGAUAAUGAGAGCAUCACUACCCCCAUCACAGGGUUGCUAUAAGGUAUGCAGCCAAAAAUAUAUAUUACAUACUUGGUACAGUGCCUGCAGUGCAGGAAUGCUCCACAAAUAUUAGCCAUCAAUACUAAAAAUAGCAAUCAAUACAUAGUCCAUGAAGAUGAGUGUCAAAGGUCCAGAAUGUUUACUAGAAGCUCACCAUGAUUUGGCUUGACCUCAAACCCAUUAAGGUAAGAGCCAAAACGAUGUUUCCUAAUUGACAGGUUGUAUCAGAAGAAAACAAAGCAACCACGGAAGAGAAAUAAAGCUGCUUCCUCCCCCUGUUAUGGGGACUGCUCAAUGGGGCCAUGUAACCGAAGAGGAGAGAAAGGUACUUCAAUGACUGCUGAAAUACCAGUGAAAAUGGUGGAUAGAAGAAGGAAGUUAAUGCUGCAGUCCUAGGAUUGGAGAAACAAUGGCACUUCAGAAAAAAUGUUCAAAAACAGAAAUGCUAUUGCCUCCAUAUUAGAAGAACAUGGCAUAAGCUCAGCCCUCAGCAACACCCAUCAUCAAGCAUAGGCAGUGAAGUUGGAGAGAGUUGUGAAGAACCAGAGGAGUUUAUUUAAUGGAACCUGACAAUAACCUGGAAGUCUUGGAUUCACCACUUGGGACUGCCUUGCCUGUGUCCUCUCCUGCUCCAGAAGUGGACAACAGGCCUGCCUAGGCCCUUACCUCCAAGAUACAGACCCAUGAUCAUCCUCUUUACCCAGGCAUCCAUGGUCAUGUAGGCAUAAGGCAGUCUCAUCCUAGCGCUGUUCACCAUGGCACACAUGCCCAAAAAUGGAAGACCUUACACAUGCCACGGUACAGACUGCUUGAAAGAAUGACAGUGCAUUCAUCAAUGGAAUAGUAUUUAAUCAUUAAUAAAUGGCUGAUAAAUAUUUAUUAAUAGAUACAAAUACUCAUAAUUUACUAAGUACAAAAAUAGUAUGAAUAGUAUAAUUCUAUUUUUUAAAAAUAUAUAUAUGUGCACACAAAGAUAUGAAAAGCUAACAUAUCAAGGUGUUAGCAAUUGUUAUCUCUGAGAAAUGUGAUUAUAGUUCUGGUUUCACCACCACACCUUGUUCAUCUAUAUUUUAUAAUUUGUCUACAAUGUCCAUUCACUGCUUUUAUAAUAAGAAAACAAAAGUUUCUGUGGUGCUGUUUUGCGUGAUUUUUUUAACAGAGUCACUGGAAGAGGGAAUGAUAAGGAGGUUCUUAUUGGUGAAAUGGUUAAAAACUACUGUCUUUGACUACAUGUUAUACAUGUGACAAUGAAUCAUAGGUCACUUAUUAUUUCAUGUGCUAAGUCUGCCUCCCCAGUGAAACUAUAACCUCCAUAAGUAAUAAUAUUAUAAACAAUAGCUAAUUGCUCCUGAACAUUUACCAUGGACCAGACACUGGUUUAGGUGUUUGAUAGGCUUUACUUAUUUAAUCCUAGGAGAGACCUUAUGAAGUAGGUACCAUUAUUACCUGCACUUUUGGAAGAAACGAAGUAGUCAAGUAACUUGCCCAAGUCACCCUGCUAAGAAGUAGUAAAGCCAAAAUUGUAGUCUAAGUCCUUCAGAAAUUAUAUCACAUGAGACUGAAAGGCAAAAAUCUCAUUGCAGAUUCUCAGCGUUCAACAACCCAAGCCACAACAGACCACACAAGCUGCCAUCUGUAACAUCCUUCUAUCUUAUCUCAACCUAUUUAUUUGGUCUUAUUUAUGGAAAGCUGAACUAGAGUACCAUUUUCUCUAAGAAGCUUUUUCAUGUUGCUAAGUAAAAGUUAGGCAUCAAUACAUAUUUGCCAAAUAACAAUAAUAGAAAUGAACAUUUAUUGUGUGUUUAUUGGGCUAAUAGUUUGCAUCAGAUACUGGCUUUUUUAUUAUUCCCAUCAUGUAAAUAAGGACAGUGAGAGGUUAAGUAACUUUAAGAUCUAAAAGUAAGGAGUGGAGCUAGGAUUCAGGUCAAGUUGAAUCUUGCUCAAGAGUUUGUGCUUUAUAUCACCACUUAACUAAGGGACUUUCUGCUGAGUAGCAGCCCCAUGAAAAAGACCAUAUUCAACAAAUGGCCAUUGUUCCACCCAGAGUCAUGUCAUACAACCAAGCUAGUAGAAGCAGACAAUUGUCAGUGUUUUUCUUGUCUGCUCAGUUUGAUUGCCCAGAUCACUACCUGUAAGAAGCCAUGCUUCAGCCUGGAAAACAUCAGCCCAUGAAUUAACAACAUAAUUACCAUAUGAUAUCAGCCGACACCGCACAAUAGUGAACAGGUGCCCUGGUAGAGUAAGAUUAAUGAAGUGACUGCAGCAGGAGCUUGUCAGAGCCACAAUUUCUGGGAACAGAGAGAGUCAUCAUGUUUAAAAUUGCAAGGCAUGGAUAAACUAAAGCUGUACCCAGAGAAUAAUCUUGACUCUCCAGGACAAAUUGCAAUCUUUAAAAUAGAAAUUAUAUGAUCUUCACAAUCAUAGAAUUGAGGAAAGUUAUGUGAACACCAUUCUAGUGUCAAAAAUAUUCAGGGAUAUUCCCCCAGAGGACACAUUCUUGCAAAGUGGUUGGUCUACAGCCUUACUAUCCUGAUUUCUCAAUCUCGGUUGAUCCUCAAAGGUUGCAGAUUAUUGGAAAUACAGUACAUGGGAACUCCCUGUUCUAUAAGCAUAUGGGCUCUGGCAUUGAAUAUAGCCAACAACUGUGGGACCUCAGUCAAAUUUCCCUAAGCUGCCUAAGCCUUAUUUUCUUUAUCUGUAUAAUGAGGCUAUUCAUGGAAUUGUAAGGAUUAAAACAGAUGAUGCCUAUUAAAUAGGGCUUGGCACGUGGAAAAAAAAAGUAAAUGUUAAGUAUUACUUUCAUUAUCUAUUACCUAAUAAACACAUGCACACACGUCUACUCUAAUGAUACUGCAUUUAAAAUUUCACUGGCCCUUCAAAGUCCAAUCCAGUGGUUCCAUUUAAUAAGUCUCAAUAUUUUUCAGCCACAUCCAAAUGCCUAUCAGAGUUCUAAAACAUGGAAGAUCAACUCAAAGGCCUACCAUAAGUAAAAUUAAAAUAUAUCCUGAUAAAGUUAAGUGAGGUUUUGAAUCCCUUCCUGCUGACUUCCAUUAAGUAAUCAAGGUUUCUACCAAUCGUGUUCACUUCUCAUGGGGGCACACUUGACAAUGGAGUGGGAUGAAACAGAAAAAUUAAAGAAAUAUAAAUGUUGAGUUCCUAUAUGUCUUUUACCAAAUGAUUUCCAGAGGCUGGCCUAAUUCCAGAUGAUGUUGUUGGGACCAGAUCAGGCUGGUUGCACUAUACUCGUGGGAAGAAGAAUUACUAUAAAAUCCAUGUUUUUGCAACUAGAAUGAUACUUUUUUAUUAAUCUUCAUGAACAGUCAGAUACUAUCACUUGCAUACUUUUUGCAUUGCAGCUUACUCUGGACCUGCAUCAUCCCAA
rnacentral:lncRNA from 10 species